UACCCGGGGCAGAUAUGUGGGUGGCGUGAGACCUCCGGAUGCCAGCCUGGCGCACCGGCUAGUAUUCUGUCUCGGGCCUGGGUCAGACGCGAUCCUGACUUCUAGGUUCCUGACUUCACUCGGCCUCAGCAGCAUCACGGCGACACUGGGGCUGUCACUUGGCCUCUCUCUGUAGAAGGUGGCCCUGGCAUGCUGACAUCUGAGAAGGACCUGCAAGGCCUCGCCUGUCUGCCUCCUUGAGGACACCAGCGCAUCCUGGUUCCUGACUUCGCUGGACCUCAGCAGCAUCACGGCGACACUGGGGCUGUCACUUGGCCUCUCUCUGUAGAAGGUGGCCCUGGCAUGCUGACAUCUGAGAAGGACCUGCAAGGCCUCGCCUGUCUGCCUCCUUGAGGACACCAGCGCAUCCUGGUUCCUGACUUCGCUGGACCUCAGCAGCAUCACGGCGACACUGGGGCUGUCACUUGGCCUCUCUCUGUAGAAGGUGGCCCUGGCAUGCUGACAUCUGAGAAGGACCUGCAAGGCCUCGCCUGUCUGCCUCCUUGAGGACACCAGCGCAUCCUGGUCGCCACUGAAAGAGUGGACUCAGGUUGAGUGAACCUCUAGACCAGGGCUCAUCACGUACUGGGGCAGAUGGAAGUGUUGGCUCCAAGUCCUGACUCCUUCCUGCAUCCAUACACUGCCAUAGUGCAUGUGGUUGGUAUGUACUUUCCCAUCCCUUGGCUCUGAGCUUGCUCAUGCAACGUGCCUGGCCCAUGGAAUGAAGCAGAAAUGAAAGUGUGCCUGUUCCGAGCCUAGGCUGGCUGAGGCUUCCUGAGCUUCUGCUGGUGAGUCCUGUGCUCCCACUUUCGCCAUGAGAAGGGCUUCUCCUGCCUCUUCAGUUGAAUGGGCACACAUGAAAGAGAGCAGCCUGGCUGUCUGGAGAUGUGCAGAGAAGCAGAGCCAGCCCAGCCAGCACAGCACUAAAGCACAACCGUAGCACCGGCAUGCGGGCCUGCAAGUCAUCGUCCCAGCCCCCUGAGCUUCAGGAUGGUAUUGCCUGUCAUGCCAGUAGCUGGCCAAUGUGUACAGCCAUUCUUUCAGUGUUUAUAGGUGCAGCUGCCACAACAGAGACCCAACACAACAGUGGGUUAAAUA